rnacentral:rRNA from 1 species
UACGUAGGUGGCAAGCGUUGUCCGGAAUUAUUGGGCGUAAAGCGCGCGCAGGCGGCCUCUUAAGUCUGAUGUGAAAGCCCACGGCUCAACCGUGGAGGGUCAUUGGAAACUGGGGGGCUUGAGUGCAGAAGAGGAGAGCGGAAUUCCACGUGUAGCGGUGAAAUGCGUAGAGAUGUGGAGGAACACCAGUGGCGAAGGCGGCUCUCUGGUCUGUAACUGACGCUGAGGCGCGAAAGCGUGGGGAGCAAACAGG